rnacentral:lncRNA from 1 species
AAAAGAAAAUAUAUAAUAAUUUAAGUGCAGAAGCGAAAUAAAAGGUUAAGGUUUACAUCCCUUACACAAUAACUUAAAAGUACUAAACAAACAUUACAGAAUGAAUUCUCUGAAAGAAACACGAGAAAUAAAACAAGUAAUGAAAAAUAGAAAGUAUCUACCAUCUACUCGCAAUCUUCAUGCGGAUCAGGCUCUGGAACCAGAUCUUCCUGAUCUGAAAUGGUUAAAUAAAAGAUGAGUUACACUAGCCCAGUAAGGAUAUCACACUAUAUCAUCCUCACAGAAGCAAAAGUUAGUAUAAAAUCAAAACAACUAAUCGAGCACUAAAUUUAGCAAAUUUGUUUAUCAAUUAUAAAAUCAUUUACCAUUCACUUAUCAUAGUAGAAUUUAUGAAAACAACCUAUAAAGACAGUAAUAUCAUACAG